GUCAAGGACAUGACUGACAAGAACUUGCUUAAGGACUAAUAGUUCGAAGUGAUUUCGAACCUGUUUCUGAAGAAGGUUGCAGCAUGGCAUCAGAAACGUCAAAUACUUUUUCAAAAGAUGCACGACUUAAUCCGAAAAUUUCCAGUUCAAGCGUCAAUUCUAAGCAGAGUUGGUUACGAACCGUGCCUACCAAGGUUGGCAAGAGACAGCAGAACUAAAACGCGUUUUGAAGGGAAAGGAGGGGGUGACGUCACGAGUUACGAAGCAGUGGGAGCAAGAGAUUGAAACGAAGUGACUUAUCUCAAAUAUACUGCUUUUUCUAAUUAAACACUCUGAUUAUGAAAGUUAUGUAUUUUUCUUUUCUUAUUAUU